GUGAGGAAUCUUCCGCAAUGGGCGAAAGCCUGACGGAGCGACACCGCGUGAAGGAUGAAGGCCUUUUGGUUGUAAACUUCUUUUCUGGGGGAAUAAAUGAUGAAGGUACCCCAGGAAUAAGCACCGGCUAACUACGUGCCAGCAGCCGCGGUAAUACGUAGGGUGCAAGCGUUAUCCGGAAUUAUUGGGCGUAAAGAGUUCGUAGGUGGUUUGGAAAGUUUGUAAUAAAAACCGGUCGCUCAACGAUCGACUCGUUACAAAAACUGCCAGACUGGAGAAUAACAGAGGCAACUGGAAUUCUGCAUGUAGGGGUUAAAUCCGUUGAUAUGCAGAGGAACACCAAAAGCGAAGGCAGGUUGCUGGGUUAUUUCUGACACUGAGGAACGAAAGCGUGGGUAGCAAACAGGAUUAGAAACCCGGGUAGUCC
rnacentral:rRNA from 1 species